GACGAACGCUGGCGGCGUGCUUAAUACAUGCAAGUCGAACGGAAAGGCCCUGCUCUUGUGGGGUGCUUGUGUGGCGAACGGGUGAGUAACACGCGAGUAUACUGUCCCUGUCUUUGGGAUAUCUCUAGGAAACUGGGGCUAUUACCGGAUAGGAGCUUCUGCUGCAUGGUGUUGGUUGGAAAGAUUCGGCGGUAGGGGAUGGACUCGCGGCUUAUCAGCUUGUUGGUCAGGUUGUGGCUUUCCAAGGCUGCGACGGGUAGCCGGCCUGAGAGGGGAACCGGCCACAUGGGGACUGAGAGACGGACCAGACGCCUACGUGACGCAGCAGUGGAAAACAUGACGCAGUGACCGGAAGCCAGAGGCAGCAACGCCGCGUGCGGAAUAACGGCCUUCGAGGGAUAAACCGCUGUCUACGGUAACGAAGCGAGAGUGACGGUAAUGGGUAAAGAAGCACCGGCUAACUACGUG
rnacentral:rRNA from 1 species